CCCGAGUUUCACUUGACUUAGAAAAAAAAAAAAAAGUAAUGAUGUAUCAUGUAAAUAAAAUAUUAGCCAAAAAGAGAUUAUAUAAAGCUUAGCCUUCUUCCAUUCAGAGACACUAAAAACCGCAGAAAAAGUGAGAACAGUGUGAAGCAAAAUCCAAGAAUAGAAAACAGAAUCUGUUAUUUUUCAAUUUAAGGUGGUUAUUAUGGAGAUGAUAUGUAAUGAAGUCAGAAUUGUAAUCAAAAUGAGGUA